CUGAAAAAGAAACCUUUCACCUCUUGUUUAUGAACUGCAGUAAACAGCAUUAGAAUACAUGAUAAGAUAUCAAUAUAGUAAUUAUGCCAUGCAGAUUAUUUAUUGACAAAGGUAACAAGAGUUCAAAAUGCACAAUGAUUGUUUUCUGCUUAACUUGCUCACUUGCUAAUGUUCUAGUAAUCAUGCAAUGCUUGGGGAACAUGGUUUUCAUAAGUGUAAUUAAAGGAACACUCAAAGCACCAUGCCCUUGUGCCCCCUUCCCCCAAAGUAAUAAAACCCUUAAGUUAUAGUUGGAUUGUUUACUGGUUGUUACUCCAAGCCUACUCUCAGCCUUCACAAGCGUCAAAAGCUCUUGCUCAGGCAUGACUUCUAGCUCUCCCAAGCUAAGUCCUGCAGUGAUUGCGUAUAGCCAAUGUGCCAAGCUCUGCACCUCCGAGCUUAAAGGACCACUAUAGUGCCAGGAAAACAUACUUGUUUUCCUGGCACUACA